rnacentral:rRNA from 1 species
GCGCCUUGCCAGCCCGCUCAGUCAGAGUUUGAUCCUGGCUCAGGACGAACGCUGGCGGCGUGCUUAACACAUGCAAGUCGAACGAUGAACCCGCUUCGGUGGGGGAUUAGUGGCGAACGGGUGAGUAACACGUGGGCAAUCUGCCCUUCACUCUGGGACAAGCCCUGGAAACGGGGUCUAAUACCGGAUACAACCACCGGCCGCAUGGUCUGGUGGUGGAAAGCUCCGGCGGUGAAGGAUGAGCCCGCGGCCUAUCAGCUAGUUGGUGGGGUGAUGCCUACCAAGGCGACGACGGGUAGCCGGCCUGAGAGGGCGACCGGCCACACUGGGACUGAGACACGGCCCAG